GGUCUUGUUCUGUCACCCAGGCUGAAGUGCAGUGGCGAGAGGUUCACGGCAGCCUUGACCUCCUGGCUGAAGCGAUCCAGCCAUCUCAGCCCCCCGAGUAGCUGAGACCACAGGCUUAGGCAGAUACUCCGAUAUUUCUGACACAUACAUACACGGAAAACCUUGCAAGAGUGGAGAAAAGAAGGGAGAGCCUCGGUGUCUGGAUGCCCAGCCUAACCAAGUCAGCUUCCCAUCUGGCUGAGACAAGGAGAACCCUGCUGGGCUAGGGGACCCAGAUACUGACCAGGUUCUGCAUGUGAUUUCCCUGUGGAAUUCCAACCAAGGACAGACAGCCUAAAAACAACAGCAGAAGCAGCAGCAACAACGAUGCUGAGUGCUGACUGCGAGCCUGGCUUCCUCGGAGGGAGUUUACCGUGCGCUGCCUCCUUGGACCCUCAUCACUGCCCUGCGAAGCAGGCACUUUCCUCACCCCCUCUGUCUGGAGGAGGGCACUGAGGCACCGAGAAAACUGGGCAGGGGAGGCCCGAGAAGGAGAGGGUGGCACCGUCAUUCUCACUUUCCAGCUGAGGACACGGGUAAGUGGCAUGCAUCUGCUCCUGUGACUUACAGGAGUCCUGGGACUCGCACUCAGGCCUCUGGACUCCUAGCCUGGUGUUUUCCCCUGGAAGUUUCUGAACCAAAAAAAAAAUGUCUGAACCAAAGCAAACAACGAGAUUGUGAGUGGAAAUCAGCUUCAGCUUCCCUGGUGUUUCUCCACGGUGAUCCCCUGUGUCUGUCACUGAAGGGGCCAGGAUGUCACCACCAACGGUAAUGACCUGGGCUUUGAGUGGAGCAUUUAACCUGUUCAGCCAGCUGUUGGAAGUGCAGAAACUAGUCCCUCCCAGUCACAAACUACCCCGGUUGCUCCACCAUCUGCAUCCAGCUUCAUUACUUAAUUCACUUUGCAAAGUUAAUCCAGUGAUCCAAGCUCCUAAUAGUCCCCAGUUUGACUUCCGCAGCUUCCCUUUCCCUCCACACCCAGCCUAUUCCGGGCUUCUGGGUCAUCAAGAAGCAGGACCCUUUCUGUUGAUUUCUUCUGGGAGGAGGCCAUCUCAAUAGCCCUUUACAACAACCCAUGAGGUCUCCUGAUUUCCAUGUGUUCUUGGAGUCCCCUGAGCUUUGGUUUGCAGCACAAGCUCAUUCCCCUCUGUGCUCCCCUCUCACUGUGUGGAACCUUCUCUAAUAGACUCACCUCUGGGGAGAGGACGUGCUCCUUUCUGGCCGCAGCUGCAGCCAUUCCAAUGUACAUCAAAGCGCUCGUCUUUCUAUCUCCACUUCUUAAAUGGUUUUGCUUUUUCUCUGUUUCUUCCUUCUCGUGGGCAGCUCAGAGCUCAUCUGUGACAGUGACCACCCUUCUGCCCCAGCCCUGGCCCCACGACCUUCCCUAACACUGCAAACAACUUCACUCUUGGCCUCCUGCUGGAUAUCUGGUCAGUGGCCUACAUUCCUCCCACUCAUGCCUCUCUCUUUUCUUUCUUUCUUUUCUCUCUCUAUCUCUUUUUUUUUUUUUUUUUUUUGAGACAGGAUCUUGCCCAGGCUGAAGCCCAAGUGGCAUGAUCAAGGCUCACUGAAGCCUCAACCUCCCAGGUUGAAGCCAUCCACCCACCUCAGCCUCCAGAGUAGCUGGGACCACAGGUGUGCACCACGAUGCCUGGCUAAUUUUGUCUUUUUAAAAUUUUUUUGUUGACAGGGUCUCACUAUGUUGCCCAGGCUGGUCUUGAACUCCUGGACUCAGGCAAUCCUCUCACCUUGGCCUCCCAAAGUGCUGGGAUUACAGUUGUGAGCCACCAUACCUGGCCUGCAUACCCUUUUCUAUCUGGCUUUCUAGACUUUAAAAUCUUUCUUGGUGGCUCCAGUUUGCCAUAUCUUAUGGUCCUGAAAUGACCCCUGUCACUGAGGCAGGGAGCAGAGGAGACUGGGAAUUUGUGCUGAUGGUAAAUAGAUAUGGUUUGAAUCCUGGCCACUGCCCACCAGCCAUGUGACCAAGACUUAACCAUAUUUUUUCGGGGUGUUAUGCAGAGAUAAUGAGAUCAAAAUUGUAAGGCAUCUAGUACUGACAUAAUAAGCUCUCAACAAAUGGUAGCUAUUUAAGUGUUAAUAACAAAUCCUUUUCAGAUGGUUUCUAUAACAGUGAAUUUGCAAAUAGUUGGAACCUCUGAAGUGCUUCCUCUCCUGGACUGGAAACCCCUUGAGGUCAGGGGCCUUGUCUUCCUAUUCACAAUGUCUGUCUAGCACAUGGUAGGCUCUUAAUAUAUAUAUAUAUUUAUUUAUUUUUUGAUGAAUGAAUAAUCUAGACUAUCCUCAAUUCUGGUAUCACGAUUCCUUUCUAGUAUUAAAUUCCAAAUUAUAAUACAUGUUAAUUGCAGAAAAAUUGGAAAAUAUUUUUUAAAAAUAGGAAAACAAAAAAAUAGCUGUGAUCCUAGUCCCUAGAGAUAGCCACAGUUAAUAUUUUGAUAUAUUUCCCUGCAGCCUUUUUUUCUGUGCUUAUGCAUAUUUCAAAAAUUUUAUAUUCUGGCUUUUCAGUUAACAUAAUGAGCAUUUCCCUGUGUUACUAAAUAAUCUUCAUAAACAUAAUUUUAAGUGCUACAUAUAUUAUUCUGUGCUAUGAAUGUAUCAUAAUUUAUGUAACCAAUACCCAGUGGUUGAUAUUUAAGUUGUUUCCAUUUUUCACCAUUAUAAAUAAAGCUAUACUGAACAUC